rnacentral:rRNA from 1 species
AACGAACGCUGGCGGCGCGCCUAACACAUGCAAGUCGAACGAGAAGCUGUAGCAAUACAGUUGUACAGUGGCGAACGGGUGAGGAAUACAUGGGUGACCCUACCCUCGAGGUGGGGAAGUAACCAGCCGAAGGUUGGCUAAUACCGCGUACGUUUCCCAGUCUGCGGAUUGGGAAGGAAAGACGAUGCCGUGAGUAUCGCGCUCAAGGUUGGGCUCAUGUCCUAUCAGC